rnacentral:rRNA from 1 species
GACGAACCGUCCAAACGUUGUUCGGAAUCACUGGGCUUAAAGGGCGCGUAGGCGGGUGAGCAAGUCUAUGGUGAAAUCCUCCGGCUUAACCGGAGAACUGCCGUGGAUACUGCCCACCUCGAGGAGGAUAGGGGCAUCUGGAACUAGCGGUGGAGCGGUGAAAUGCGUUGAUAUCGCUAGGAACUCCGGUGGCGAAGGCGAGAUGCUGGAUCCUUUCUGACGCUGAGGCGCGAAAGCCAGGGGAGCGAACGGG